GGUCUGGGCAUGGAAGGCCUCAUCCCCUUCCCUGGAGACAGCAUGUUCCUCCGUAACAGUGCAGGGAUGCUUGGCUCUCCCAGGUGUGAGAGCGACCCGCAUCCUCCCCGUGCUCUGAGACACAGUGCCAAACAGGAUCAGCUGUCACCAGUGCCAUCGUCCAGCCUUUAUUCUCUGGAAGGGACUUGCUGGAGAGGCUGACUCCCGCUGUAUGAAGCCUUGCAGACGAGGAGCUGGCUCCAGCCGCUCCUGCCUUUCACACCCUUCCAAUGAACACAGACAAAUAAAUGUCCCCUUGCUGGCUUGCUUUUCCA